rnacentral:rRNA from 1 species
UUGACCUCGAAUCAGGUAGGGAUACCCGCUGAACUUAAGCAUAUCAAUAAGCGGAGGAAAAGAAACCAACCGGGAUUACCCUAGUAACGGCGAGUGAAGCGGUAACAGCUCAAAUUUGAAAUCUGGCUCCCUGCGGAGUCCGAGUUGUAAUUUGUAGAAGAUGCUUUGGGUGCUCGGCCCGGUCUAAGUUCCUUGGAACAGGACGUCGUAGAGGGUGAGAAUCCCGUAUGCGGCCGGGGUGGGUGCUCGUGUAAAGCUCUUUCGACGAGUCGAGUUGUUUGGGAAUGCAGCUCAAAAUGGGUGGUAAAUUUCAUCUAAAGCUAAAUAUGGGCCAGAGACCGAUAGCGCACAAGUAGAGUGAUCGAAAGAUGAAAAGCACUUUGGAAAGAGAGUUAAACAGUACGUGAAAUUGUUGAAAGGGAAGCGCUUGCAACCAGACUUGGGCGUCGCUGAUCAUCCAAAGUUUUCUUUGGUGCACUCGACGACGUACAGGCCAGCAUCGGUUGGGGUGGUGGGAGAAAGGUUGUAGGAACGUAGCUCUUUUCGGGGAGUGUUAUAGCCUGCGACGCAAUGCCGCCUACCCUGACCGAGGACCGCGCUUCGGCUAGGAUGCUGGCGUAAUGGUUGUAAGCGACCCGUCUUGAAACACGGACCAAGGAGUCUAACAUCUAUGCGAGUGUUUGGGUGCGAAACCCAUGCGCGAAAUGAAAGUGAACGUAGGUGAGAACCCUUCGAGGGGGCAUCAUCGACCGAUCCU